AACGCGAAAAACCUUACCUACCCUUGACAUGGCAGGAAUCCCGGAGAGAUUUGGGAGUGCUCGAAAGAGAACCUGCACACAGGUGCUGCAUGGCUGUCGUCAGCUCGUGUCGUGAGAUGUUGGGUUAAGUCCCGCAACGAGCGCAACCCUUGUCAUUAGUUGCUACGCAAGAGCACUCUAAUGAGACUGCCGGUGACAAACCGGAGGAAGGUGGGGAUGACGUCAAGUCCUCAUGGCCCUUAUGGGUAGGGCUUCACACGUCAUACAAUGGUACAUACAGAGGGCCGCCAACCCGCGAGGGGGAGCUAAUCCCAGAAAGUGUAUCGUAGUCCGGAUUGUAGUCUGCAACUCGACUACAUGAAGUUGGAAUCGCUAGUAAUCGCGGAUCAGCAUGUCGACUGAAA
rnacentral:rRNA from 1 species